rnacentral:misc_RNA from 1 species
AUAUGAAGGCUUCGGCUGGAUUAUUUAUUUCACCCUUGUCUUUUGCGCACUUGUUGUUUCCUGGGCGGGUUCGCCCGCCACCAGGACCACACCAUAAACCUUUUUUGUUAAUGCAGUCAGCGUCAGUACAACAAAUGUAAAUCAUUUACAACUUUCAACAACGGAUCUCUUGGUUCUGGCAUCGAUGAAGAACGCAGCGAAAUGCGAUACGUAGUGUGAAUUGCAGAAUUCAGUGAAUCAUCGAAUCUUUGAACGCACAUUGCGCCCUUUGGUAUUCCAAAGGGCAUGCCUGUUCGAGCGUCAUUUGUACCCUCAAGCUUUGCUUGGUGUUGGGCGUUUUGUCUUUGCUCGCCAAAGACUCGCCUUAAAACGAUUGGCAGCCGACCUCUUGGUUUCGCAGCGCAGCACAAUUUUGCGCUUGCAAAUCAGCAAGUUGGCACUCCAUCAAGAACAUUUUUUUACGUUUGACCUCGGAUCAGGUAGG